rnacentral:lncRNA from 1 species
CGCUGGCCCCAAGCAGGUUCCUCUCCUGAGAAUCUGAGACUGCACUGAGCCGUGCUAGCCGGGCUCCCCAGCGCCAGCCUAGGGGGAAAUGCGCUAUUACUGCAAUUGCAGCUCAGCUCAUCAGGCUGAUUUCCUCUCUCGGCCCCUCGCCUCAGAGCCCUGGAUGCCCAGUGCAUCCCCGGAGGCUCCCCAGGCUCCUGGGACUUCCAGGGUCCCCUGGAGGCAGCAGCCGCAUUUCGAGUGACAGUCGGGCUUCUCAGGUGCACAGGCGGUUCCGUUCGAGGGAGCAGCCCUGGGGCUGUGUCCCCAGCACCCGCCUCGCACGCAGCUAUCCCCGGAGAUUCACCUGCAUCGUUUUCGCUCGAGGCUCAGCACAGGGUGGGCAAUGCCAUUUCCACAGCCGUCCGGGGCUCUGGCAAAUGUCACGGCUGUCACGCAGACAGAAUCCCCCUGGCCUGUGCGCCUCCAUCGUCCGAGGGAAAACAUUCUUUGCAUUCCUGACGGAGGGUCCUAUCUGCAGGCCUUGGACUCGGCCCGCAGGCCGUGUUCCCUGUCCAGUGGCCUAGGCCACGGCCGGCCGCUCCUUCCCUCCAGCUCCGCAGGAAGAGGGGAAGCGGGAAGGACUCUGCCUACGCCGCGUGUGGACACCCUGCCGGUCAGGACAGAGCACCAGCUGCGGCAUGUUGUGUGGAGGGGAGCUUAUCCCUUCCGGCACAUCCUGACAAGACACGUUUUAUAGGGUUUGGGCUAAAAUUUGAUAUUGGAAGUUGGGGACUCCAAUUUUAUGUCUCCAAGGAUAACAAUAGCAGCUGGGACCUUUAAGAAAUGUGUGUGUCCCCUCUACUUAAGAGUUCCAUAAUAAAAGCUAUUUAUGUCAAGCACCUUAUAAGGGAAAGAUUUAACUUGAGCAUUGAUAUAACAUAUAAUACCUUUUCUAUUUAGAUAGGAGGAAAAUCCAUCAUUAAUGAUCUGUAUUACUUCAGUUUGAACUAUCAGAUAUGCAGGGGCUUUAACAAAUUGAAAGGAAGCGUGUCCUUGUUUCAAUUUACAGAUUCAUCCAGUGACCUCUUUCCGUAUUAUUUCUGUAUAAAAAGCAAACAAUGGU